UACGGGAGGCAGCAGUGGGGAAUAUUGCACAAUGGGCGCAAGCCUGAUGCAGCCAUGCCGCGUGUAUGAAGAAGGCCUUCGGGUUGUAAAGUACUUUCAGCGGGGAGGAAGGCGAUGCGGUUAAUAACCGCGUCGAUUGACGUUACCCGCAGAAGAAGCACCGGCUAACUCCGUGCCAGCAGCCGCGGUAAUACGGAGGGUGCAAGCGUUAAUCGGAAUUACUGGGCGUAAAGCGCACGCAGGCGGUCUGUUAAGUCAGAUGUGAAAUCCCCGGGCUUAACCUGGGAACUGCAUUUUGAAACUGGCAGGCUUGAGUCUUGUAGAGGGGGUAGAAUUCCAGGUGUAGCGGUGAAAUGCGUAGAGAUCUGGAGGAAUACCGGUGGCGAAGGCGGCCCCUGGGACAAAGACUGACGCUCAGGUGCGAAAGCGUGGGGAGCAAACGAGGAUUAGGAUACC
rnacentral:rRNA from 1 species